rfam:Camelus ferus unplaced genomic scaffold scaffold2519, whole genome shotgun sequence.
GAGGGUGUAGCUCAGUGGUGGAGUGCGUGCCUAGCAUGUAUGAGGUCCUGGGUUCAAUCCCCAGUGCUGCCA